rnacentral:rRNA from 1 species
GACGAACGCUGGCGGCGUGCCUAACACAUGCAAGUCGAACGAAGUGGCGAACGGGCGAGUAACGCGUAAUCAACCUGCCCUUCUGAGGGGGACAACAGUUGGAAACGACUGCUAAUACCGCAUACUGUAGGAGGGGAUUGCGUCUGAUUAGGUGGUGGGGGGGGUAACGGUCCACCAAGGCGAAGUUCAGUGAGCGGGCUGGGAGGAUGAACGGCCCCAUUGGGAACGGAAAACGGCCCAGGAUCCUACGGGAGGCAGCCAUGGGGAAUCUUCGGCAAUGGGCGGAAGGCUGGCGGAGCAACGCCGCGUGAGUGGUAACGGGCUUCGGGUUGUAAAGCUCUGUUAAUCGGGACGCGGUACCGAAAUAGAAAGCCACGGCUAACUACGUGCCAGCAGCCGCGGUAAUAC